GUAGGUGGCAAGCGUUGUCCGGAAUUAUUGGGGCGUAAAGCGCGCGCAGGCGGUUCUUUAAGUCUGAUGUGAAAGCCCACGGGCUCAACCGUGGAGGGUCAUUGGAAACUGGAGAACUUGAGUACAGAAGAGGAAAGCGGGAUUCCACGUGUAGCGGUGAAAUGCGUAGAGAUGUGGAGGAACACCAGUGGCGAAGGCGGCUUUCUGGUCUGUAACUGACGCUGAGGCGCGAAAGCGUGGGGAGCAAACAGGAUUAGAUACCCUGGUAGUCCACGCCGUAAACGAUGAGUGCUAAGUGUUAGGGGGUUUCCGCCCCUUAGUGCUGCAGCUAACGCAUUAAGCACUCCGCCUGGGGAGUACGGCCGCAAAGGCUG
rnacentral:rRNA from 1 species